AGGGUUUUAGGAUAAUAUUUAAACCAAAAGCCUUCAAAGCUUUAAAUAAGAGUGAAAAUCUCUUAAUCCUUA
rnacentral:tRNA from 1 species